CGACGCCAGCGCGAUUGAAAUUUCUCAAGACCGACCGCACCGAGGCGGAAGCUGUUCGCGAAGUCGUGCGCCGUCUGGCGAUGGCGCGGCCGGAUAUCGCGUUUUCAUUGUCCGGCGAGGAGCGCGCGCCGGGCACCNNNCGCUGCCCGGCGCUCCCGGCCGUCUGACACGGCUCGGCGAUAUUCUGGGGGCGGAUUUUCGCGCCAGCGCCAUCGAGGUGCGCGCCGAACGCGAUGGUGUAAGCGUCGAAGGCU
rnacentral:misc_RNA from 1 species